AGCGAGGACGUGACCGUUUUGGAAGCAUUGUUCUUUUCACUGUUAGUGAGGAGCGGUCAAGGAUGCGUAUUAAGAAAUUACUCUUAGAAGAAAGGAAGCAUUGAGAGUAAGGAACAAAUGCCAAUGAUGACAACCCAAACACUAUGCCUCAUCGGAGCACAAAGUUCCAAGUGACUUCAAAGGGUUUUCUGUACUUGGAGCAGCUCUAUGGGACAUGGAAGAUGAGAAAUGAACCGACACCAGAGGUGCAAUGAAAGGUAAAACUCAUAGCAUCACCACAGCUCUUAGGGCUGGUGAAUUACCAGAUCUCCGUCAAGUGCAGUAACCAGUUCAAGUUGGAAGUGUGUCUUUUGAAUGCAGAAAACAAGGUCGUGGACAACCAGGC
rnacentral:lncRNA from 10 species